AUGGGCCACCAACAGUCCAGGUUUUGUCAGUAUCUCCAUUGGAAUAAAACAGGGAAAUGCAUAAAUCCUGGACUGUUGGUGGUCCAUGAGGACU